AUGGAGGUGAUGCACUGGAGCAGGUUGCCCAAGGAGGCUGUGGAUGCCCCAUCCCUGCAGGCAUUCAAGGCCAGGCUGGAUGUGGUGCUUGGCCCACAGCAGGGGGGCUGGAACGUGAUGAUCAUUGUGGUCCUUUGCAACCCAGGCCAUUCUGUGAUUCUAUGGUUCUGUGGUCUCACCCAACACCCAUUUGUGUGUUUCCCCACAGAGAGAAUCCCUCGAGGAGCGCUGACGGUGCCUGUGACGCCUGAAGCCACUUUAUUUGGAUCGUUUCUACUUCCACCGGCCAUUGCAAUGCAGCCCAUCAGCAGAGCAGUGCUGGUCCCACUUAAACCCCUCCCUGUCCCCAGUGCCACCCACCUGGUGCCUCAGGCCUCUGUCUGGCCUGGGGUACCAGGUGUCUGGGGACAGGCAGCACAGCAGCUCCCACCUGGGGGGCUGCCUAUAACUGUGGUUCAGCUCCCACCUUGGGGGCUGCACCCAGGUACAGCUCCCCUUAAAGCCCCUGCCCACCGUCACCUGCUGGCAGGGAUGAUGCUGCUCCAGCAGCUGAUGGGGUUGUGGUCUGGGGUUACGUUCUAUGCAGAGCCCCCGCAGCCCGCAGGCACCUGCCUGCCGCAGGCCCCCGGCCGCCCCGGCCCCCCGCCACUUCUUUUGCCAGCUCCUUCAGUGCGGCAGAAGGUGCCCUGCACCCUGCCCGCCAGCUGGGAGCCGCCCAUGGAGCCCUUGCAAGACGCCGUGCUGCUCAUGGAGGACCAGGGGCACCCAGCGCCCACCCACGGCUGCCCCCAUCCUGACACGGCUCCGCUCACCUGCAGCGCUGCCACGCCGCAAUCAGGCCGUGAGUUCAGGGGCUGCAGAGCGGGCGGCUGGCUGCCCUCCCCGGCUGGCUGUGGGAAAGCUGCCGGCAUUGCCCCACUGGGGAUCUUCUGGCUUUUCCAGCAGGGACAACAAGCGCAGGCAGCCCGGAGGACAUGGCAGACAUCGAUGAUCUGCUGGCAUGGAUCACUACGGUGA
rnacentral:lncRNA from 1 species